GACAGAGGGUGCAAACGUUGUUCGGAAUUACUGGGCGUAAAGCGCGUGUAGGCUGCUCGGAAAGUCGGAUGUGAAAGCCCUGGGCUCAACCUAGGAAGUGCAUUCGAAACUUCUGAGCUGGAGUGCUGGAGAGGAAGGCGGAAUUCUCGGUGUAGAGGUGAAAUUCGUAGAUAUCGAGAGGAACACCGGUGGCGAAGGCGGCCUUCUGGACAGUAACUGACGCUGAGACGCGAAAGCGAGGGGAGCAAACAGG
rnacentral:rRNA from 1 species